rnacentral:rRNA from 1 species
UACGGGGGGGGCAAGCGUUGUUCGGAAUUACUGGGCGUAAAGGGCUCGUAGGCGGCCAACUAAGUCAGACGUGAAAUCCCUCAGCUUAACUGGGGAACUGCGUCUGAUACUGGAUGGCUUGAGUUCGGGAGAGGGAUGCGGAAUUCCAGGUGUAGCGGUGAAAUGCGUAGAUAUCUGGAGGAACACCGGUGGCGAAGGCGGCAUCCUGGACCAACACUGACACUGAGGAGCGAAAGCCAGGGGAGCAAACGGG